rnacentral:rRNA from 1 species
GCAAGUCGAACGGUAACAGCAGAGCUUGCUCUGGCUGACGAGUGGCGAACGGGUGAGUAACGCGUAGGAAUUUGCCUAGUAGUGGGGGACAACGUGUGGAAACGCACGCUAAUACCGCAUACGCCCUAAGGGGGAAAGCAGGGGAUCUUCGGACCUUGCGCUAUUAGAUAAGCCUGCGUGAGAUUAGCUUGUUGGUGAGGUAAUGGCUCACCAAGGCGACGAUCUCUAGCUGGUCUGAGAGGAUGAUC